rnacentral:rRNA from 1 species
ACCAGCAGCCAUAUCACCUGCAGCUCACAAUUGGCAGCCCAAUGAAGCUCAGCAGGUGUGAGCCUGUUCAGCACCUGGAUGGGAGACCUCCUAGAAAAACUAAGGUUGCUGCUGGAA